GCUUCCUAUUAUUGUAACAAGCUGGGAUUCGAACCGUUGGCCUACAGGGGCUUGGAGACCGGCAGCCGCGAUGUGGUGUCGCACGUGGUCAAACAAGACAAGAUCAUUUACGUUUUUUCUUCUGCCCUCAACCCCGGAAACAAAGAGAUGGGAGAACAUUUGGUGAGACACGGGGACGGAGUGAAGGACAUAGCGUUUACCGUGGAGGA